UGUGACGCAAGUACGAUUCUGCUGAGGCAUUCCAAACACAGCAAAUAAGAAAUUGUAUGACCUCAUUGCAUGAAGUCACAUAACUGGCCAACGCUAUGACUUCAUGCCAUAUGGUACUUAAACUCCAUUUUGAUAUUAAUGACAUGUAUUUUUUAUUGUCCAGGCCAGUAAGAGUGCAGAGCUAGUGGUCCUUAAAUUUAGGAGGGAUUGUCUGCAGGGCUUCUCAAACAUCGUAAGAAAAGCACAGGAGAAGAGCCCCUUGAAAUAUGCAACAGUUAUGCAGAUGGAGUGUCUGGAUGCAUCUCUCAUGUUCAGGGACCCAGACAGAUGCAAAAAUAAGAUGAAGGCUCUUGUCCAGGCAUUCCUGAAAAACAAGCACCUGACAGGAGGUGUACCUGCUGGGGAUGCCGUUGUCCAACAAUUUGAAUCUUUCCUGUCUGUUGAGGCGAGAAAUGAAGAAUUUCUUGCCUUCCAGGCAUUUGAGAGAUGCGCAGACACCUUCCUGCGUGAGAGAUUAAGCCGACCCUACCCUGCUGCUUUGGACUUUUGCCAGAAGUUACUGCUGCUUUCACAUGGCCAGACCUCUGUUGAAAGGGUAUUUUCUAUCAACAAGGAGGUGGAAGCCGAAAACAUGCAAGAAGACACAAUUUUUGCACAAUGUUUGAUAUUUGACUAUGUUGCAAUGCAUGGGGGUGUCACUCAGGUCCCCCUCACCAAGGAACUUAUGGCAUUUGUGGGUGCAGCUCGGUCAAAAUACCGCCUCUUUCUCGACGAAGAGCGCAUCAGAAAAGAAAAGGAAUCCCAGAGCCAGAAAAGAAAGCUGGCUGAGCAGUCUCUGCAGGACCUUAAGAAAAGGAAGACAAGCUUGGAGGAUGCAUCUUGUCAGAGAGACAGAUGCACUUGCAGAAUAAGCUGAGAGGCGGGCUGGCUCCAAGAUGGCUCAGCUUCUCUUCAACUCCAAUGCCCUGAGAAGGGCGUACAAAGAAAAACUUGCCGAACUGAAAGUCCUUGAAACUGAAAUCAGUGCUAAAAGGGAUGAAUUCCGGCAUAUGCAGGAUUAGGUUGUAUGUGCUAGGCUAGUGUUGUGUUGGGAAUAUGUAUGUCAAGUUCUGUCAUUUUAAGUAUUUUGAUUAUCUGUUUUAAUACUGAAUCAAUAAAAAUAGAAUGUUUUGAGAA